GAUGAAGAACGUAGCGAAAUGCGAUAAGUAAUGUGAAUUGCAGAAUUCAGUGAAUCAUCGAAUCUUUGAACGCACAUUGCGCCCGCCAGCACUCUGGCGGGCAUGCCUGUUCGAGCGUCAUUUCAACCAUCAAGCCCCCAGGGGCUUGUGCUGGGGCCCUGCGGCUGCCCGCAGGCCCUGAAAACCAGUGGCGGGCUCGCUAGUCACACCGAGCGCAGUAGCACAUCUCGCUCAGGGCGUGCGGCGGGCUCCUGCCGUGAAACCCCCCACUGUAACCCCAAAGGUUGACCUCGGAUCAGGUAGGAAUACCCGCUGAACUUAAGCAUAUCAAUAACGGAGGA
rnacentral:misc_RNA from 1 species